ensembl:snRNA
GUGUUGUAUGAAAGGAGAGAAGGUUAGAAAUACAUUUCACAUUAUGGCUAUUACGAAUACAUAUCUAUAAUUGAAACAAGCUUUUUUU